CCACACAGAGAACUGGAGAGCAUCUCAUCCUCUUUACCUUUUCUUUUCGGGCGAAAGUGUUUUUUUCAGACACCGACAGAAAUGAAUCCAAUUUUAUUUUGUACAACAGCCUGAUAAAAUAAAAAUAAAUAUCGAUAUAUUUUUAAUACCACUUAAAAAUAUAACUCUGUUGCUCUGAUAAAGGAGCAAUGCAUAUUGUUCUCUUUGCCAGCGCUAAAUAAGCUUGUGCCAAAGAGCGACACAUUAUUUUUGGGAAAUGGGCAGCACUGCAAUGGAUCCUAAGAAGAAAGAUGAGAAGAAAAAUUCAAGAAAAAGGAGAUCGCUUCGGAUAAACAUGCCUGACUUGGGCUCCUUCGCCAUGCCGUUCCUAGAAGGAGAUGCAGAAAAUGCCAAGGACGGCGUGUGCAAGGGGGAGCUUAGCUGCCGUUCAGCCAGCCCGAGCAAAAACUUCUUCAGCCGGGGGCCGUUUAGUCGGCCCUCUAGCCCCAUGUCCGCUCCGGCCCGAUUCCGAAACAGCCCUGGAUCUCCCAAACCCAUCUUCCCCUACUCCUCCACCCACGACUCGUCGCCCAAGUGUUCACGUCGCCGCAGCUUCACCGGAAUCUUUCGCUCGUCCUCCAAAGACUCCACGAAUCCCUCCACGUCUCCUGUCAGCAUCAAACUUUUCUCUCGGGCCAGGAAAGCCUCUGGUAUCUCCUCAUCACCCACCACUCCAACACAAGUGACCAAGCAGACUUCGGCGUUUAUUCUGGAAGCCAGUCGGAAUGACACUGUGCAUCGUUCCUCCUCCUCCCCCCUCGACACGGGACAGCACCACAGCCCGCCUGCUACAAAACCACCACCCUGUCCCUGCUCAGCACCUAUAUCUACCUCACAUAUGGUCCACGGUUUGUCUGAAGACAUGCUGGAGAAACUCGAUCUCGAGGAUGAAGCUGUCGAACAAUCUGAGAGUGACAUUUACAUGCGGUUUAUGAAGUCACAUAAGUGCUAUGACAUCGUCCCUACCAGCUCCAAGCUCGUGGUCUUUGACACAACGCUGCAGGUAAAAAAGGCCUUUUUUGCCUUGGUGGCCAAUGGGGUCCGAGCUGCCCCUCUGUGGGAGACCAAGAAACAGAGUUUUGUGGGCAUGCUAACCAUCACAGACUUCAUCAACAUACUUCACAGAUACUACAAAUCACCCAUGGUACAAAUCUAUGAGCUUGAGGAGCAUAAAAUUGAGACGUGGAGAGAGCUCUAUCUACAGGAAACAUUUAAGCCUUUAGUGAACAUAUUUCCAGAUGCAAGCAUAUUUGAUGCGGUGUAUUCACUGAUCAAAAACAAGAUCCACCGGUUACCCGUCAUCGACCCUGUCAGUGGAAAUGCACUUUACAUUUUGACGCACAAAAGGAUCCUGAAAUUCCUUCAGCUGUUUGUGUGUGAGAUGCCAAAGCCCGCCUUUAUGAAGCAGACACUGGAAGAGCUGAGCAUCGGGACCUACAGCAACAUCGCCUUCAUCCACCCCGACACGCCAAUCAUCAAAGCACUCAGCAUCUUUGUGGAGAGGAGGGUGUCAGCACUGCCUGUGGUGGACGAGUCAGGAAAAGUUGUAGAUAUUUAUUCCAAAUUUGAUGUCAUUAAUCUUGCUGCUGAAAAGACGUACAACAACCUGGACAUUAGCGUGACACAGGCACUGAUGCACAGGUCACAGUACUUUGAAGGGGUCAUGAAAUGCAACCGAUUUGAGACACUGGAAACAAUAGUAGAUCGGAUAGUCAAGGCUGAGGUGCACAGACUGGUGGUGGUGGAUGAGAAUGGCAGCAUCGUGGGCAUCGUCUCUCUGUCGGACAUCCUCCAGGCACUUGUUCUCAACCCCGCAGGUAUCAAUGCUCAGCAUUCCUAAAGCACAUUUCCAGCAGGACCCUCCUCCUCCCAUCCUCUCUCGUCCGAGCCACAGGUAUGACCAGGAAAGAGAGCGAAGCAGAGACGGAGUGAUGCUUCUUGUGGAGAUUACUGGGUCAUGUGACGUUGCUGUAAGAGACUGACGUGGAAGCAGAGACCACAUGUUUGGGCCUCAUCUCAGAGUGAAAGAGUGGAACCAGGGAACUUGACCUAGAUGUGUGCUGUCAGAGAGCAAAGGAAGAGUUAUUUGGUCUGUUAUCUGAUUUCUAGAUGGCAGUAUGGGGCGAUGAAGGUGUAUCAUCUCUUAUUCAGAAGGAUACUGUGAACUCUUCCUAUUAUAUCACACUAAGCUUCUGCACGCACACUAUGAUAACUAUACCUUUAGCUAGACCUAAAUCUACGCCAUCUGGUGUUUGAAUAGUGUCUGCACACAGACUACGGACUGUACCAUAAUCGCCUCUGUUGGAGGGGGGUGUCUGUGCGUUUGCAGGACAUUCAGUAAUAAUCUCAGUAUUCAGUGCAUGUUAUGACUGUUUGUUCCUUGUGUAUAUACGAUUUUCGGCUUGUGGCGUAUGAGCCAGUUCACAUAUUUGUACUUUUGACUACUCCUCCUGCAUUUAGGAAUUCGUUUAAUCUUUCUCCGCCACAGUCCCUUUGUAAAUGCAGACAGAAAUGGUUUCCUCUGUAUCUGUCUUUGGUGCCUUCUGUCCAGCAGUUAUCGCCCACUACUGGUUGCCAAUAGAACAAGAUUAAUCGAAUGUUUAAAUAUAUCAAAGUGAAUGUUACUGUUGUUUAAAAAAAAAAAAAAACAAAAGGCCCAUUUUGCUGUUUUAGUGUGUGUCACUGAUUUUAUUUAUUGCAGAGCUCUACAUUUCUUCACUUUGGGUGUUGAUUAUUUACUUGAUGUUUUUGAAAUGAUGCUGUAAAGGAAAAUGAAAAUGUUUAUUUAUUUAUAUUUAACACUUUUGUAAUUUGAAAAGCGAUAUCUAAGUGUGAGAUGGAAAGAUCUAUGAAGCCCCUAUGCAGUAAAACCACGUGCUGAUGAUCAGUGACUUGAUGUUCAAUGCAAUUCAACCUUAAAAUCCUACGCUUUUUUCUUUUCCUGUCCAUGAGGUGACUGACCUCUUGUUUGUACUGUACACGCACGCAGAGCUUCUGUCUGAGGAAUAUACAAGUGCCAGAGAAAGGUCUAUUUUUCUGUGUGUUCGAUGAGUGGAAUACUUCACAUUUUUAGUUUUUGGCAUUUGUUUUGCAGAUAUGUUAAUGUUGUUGAUAUGAAAGAGUAAUGUCCAGAGAUAAAUGCACAUCACUGGCAUGUGACUGCUAAAGGAUAAUCAUGCUUUAGAUUCGUUUUUUAUUUACAGUUAAAUAAAAAAGAAUAAACAAA